rnacentral:tRNA from 1 species
AAGGAUUUAAGUUAAUACUAAACUCGUAGCCUUCAAAGCUUCAAAUAAAGACGGCCACACCUUUAAGCCUUA